AACGAACGCUGGCGGCAUGCCUAACACAUGCAAGUCGGACGCUUUCGGGGGUUUCGGCCUCCGAGGGAGUGGCGGACGGGUGAGUAGCGCGUGGGAACCUGCCCCUUUGUGGGGGAUAACCGAGGGAAACUUCGGCUAAUACCGCAUGCGCCCGCGGGGGAGACCUUGCGGGGAAAGAUUUAUCGCAGAGGGAGGGGCCCGCGUCGGAUUAGGUAGUUGGUGGGGUAACGGCCUACCAAGCCUGUGAUCCGUAGCUGGUCUGAGAGGAUG
rnacentral:rRNA from 1 species